GGGCAAGUGGCGAAAUCGGUAAACGCAGCGGACUUAAAAUCCGCCGGUGGCGACACCGUGUGGGUUCGACUCCCACCUUGCCCACCA
rnacentral:tRNA from 1 species